CCGAUAACUUUGUUUCAAAUACGGAUCACAUAUUCACAUCAGUUUCUGGGACUUUUGCCACCUCGGUUGUGAUUUGUGAACUCAAAAACUGCGUGUCGCCCUGCAACUAAGUGCGCAAGUCCAAAAUUUAGGGUUUAUACUUUAUUCAUGUAAAAAAAAUCGAAAGAGUGCAACAUUGAAAAGUUUCCAGUAGCAAAACUUCGAAGCACCCUUCUUCUUCAAUGGCUUCAUCGACCGUCAAUUCAGGGUCACCAAAGAGCAGCAGUGGAUCGAAACACACAGUUGCAGAACAAGAUAAGAGUAAAGAAGUAGAAUUGAAAGUGGCGGAGGAAUUGAAUCAAAAUCGUAAUCAUAUUUUGAAAGUGGAGGCCAAGGCGGAAGUCCUGGAGGAGUACCGAAAGGCGAAGACGUCGGUGUGGUGGGACAUUGAGAAUUGUCCGGUGCCGAAAAGUUGUGAUCCUAAUUUGAUUGCGCAAAAUAUCGCCUCCGCCCUCCUUAAAUUGGAUUACGGCGGUUCUGUUUCGAUUUCGGCUUAUGGCGACACCCGCGGUAUUUCCACUGCCGUUCAGCACGCCCUCUCUUCUACCGGCAUCUCCCUCAACCAUGUCCCUGCUGGUGUUAAAGAUGCCAGUGACAAGAAGAUUCUAGUUGAUAUGUUGUUUUGGGCUGUUGAUAACCCUGCCCCAGCUAAUUAUCUUUUGAUUUCUGGUGAUCGCGAUUUUGCAAAUGCCCUGCAUCAGUUGCGUAUGAGAAGAUACAAUAUCCUUCUUGCCCAUCCGUUUCAAGCCUCUGCCGUCCUUGUUGCUGCAGCCAAAAGCGUGUGGUUGUGGACUAGUCUCGUCGAUGGUAGCCCUCCUCUUACCGGAAAUGAGUCACCUCCACCCAAAAAUGGUAGUAUUAUUAAUGAUAAGGUAAGUAACCUACAGAAGGCAUCUCAGACAGCUGCCAACUUUUCUAGUGAUCAGCGGAAGGAGAACAAAAAGGUUGGGAAGAAGAGAAAAAAUGAAGGGGAGAUUGAUUCCCCUAAUUGCAAGUUUUCUAACAAGAAGCUUAAGGGACAAUUUCAGACCAAUGCUGGAGGAAAUUUCAAGAGUAAUGCGGGGGGUUGUGGGAAUAACCAGAGGCAGAACAUGCAGACCCAGGGAGGUGGUUCUAAGAAAAUUCGUAGUUGUAGGAAGUGUACUUUGUACCAUCAUGGAAGAGACUGCAAAGGAAAUCCAAUUCAGUGUUUUCACUGCAAGAUUUUCGGACAUAAAUCCUAUGAAUGUCAUAGCAAUCCUAUGAACCAUCAGAACCAGCACUCUCCAGCAAACAAGAGCAAGCUCAGCGACAAUCAACUCAGCAAUAUUCCCACUUCUAGUGGAAACAACUUUGGAGAAAACUCAAACUUUGGUGAAAAUAAUGGCCCAGGUGGUGGUCAAAACUUCGAUGGUAAUCAUGCACCUGUUGGACAAGGAGGCGACCUUGAAAAAACACCAGUGAUGAUAGCUACGAGCAAUGCUACUCAAGAAGAAGCAAAGGACGACCACAGUGAAGAUGGUGGUCCUACUAUGGCGAUGAACAAAGCUCAGGCCAGUAGUCAUGCACUGGUUGGACAAGGAGAUGGCCUUGCAGAUACACCAGUGAAGAUAGCUGCCAACAGUUGGACUCAAGGAGAUGAAAACAACAACAACAACAACAACAACAACAACAACAUACACGUUGAACCAUACAAGAAAACAACGCGUAAUUGUAGGAAGUGUAAUAAGAACCACCCAGGUAGAGAUUGCCAAGGGAAUUAUUUGCAGUGUUACAACUGCAAAAAAUUUGGACAUAAGGCCUCAAUAUGUUAUGGCAGGCGUAACCAUCAGAACCAGCACUUUCCAGCAACUAAUAGCAAGUUUGGAGGAAACUCAGAAUUCAGUGCUUUCAAUGGCCAAGGUGGUGGUCAAAACUUCAAUGGUAAUCCAGCACCGGUUGAACAACAAGGUGGUAACCUUGAAAAAUUACCAGUGUCGAUAGCGACCAACAGUGUGACUCGAGGAGAAGCAAACAACAACAACCAAGUAGGUGGUCAUACCAUGUUGACGAACCAAGCUCAGUCCAGUACAAAUGGAACAUAUUUGAGCAACGGUUUAUUGCAACAUGCGCAGUUUCUGUUUCAAAUAUUGCGAGGGAAUAAACACCCUUAGUAAUUAUUGAAACAGACUUAUAACGUGACUUAUUGUAAAUUUUAUUGACUCUUUCAUAGUAGACUUCAAGUGGCAGUCUGAAUAAAAACUUUGGCGCUCCGAAUGAAAAGAAUUCUGAGCUUCAGCUAACUCCUCUCCCUAAUUUAUCUUUGACAAUCACCUUCAGACCUUUUUUAAAAAAAUUCAAAAAUACUCUCGUCUUCAAGUGUUUCGCUCUUCACAGCAUCAUUUUAGCCAAGUCUCUGGCCAGCAUCAAGUCAUCUUCAAUGUGGUUCUAUCUCGCCAGUUAAGCUCUGUAGCAGCAACCUCUUUACCACCGAUUAAAGAUUGACAGAAUAAGAAAAAGCUCCAGUUGCCUUUGGAAUACAUUUGCAUAAGAAAAGGUACGUAAGCUUUUUUUUUUCUCAGUGCUAAGGUGUUUUGAUUUAUUUGUUUAUUGUGUCUUUUAUGUGUUUCUUAUAUUGGAUAGGUCUUGUACAUUUAUGCUUGGUCUUAUGCUAUGCUGUUAUUAAAUACUAUAAAAAGUCUUGAUUACCCCCACCCCCCCUUUUUAGUUCUUUGUAGAGGUUAGAGGUCGAUUUUUGAUGGUUUUGUGUUUGCCUAUUCUAUUUGUUUAAUGUAUUGUUUAGCCUUCGUAAGUUACGUUUAAGUUGGCUUACACCUCGGGAACAUUAUGCUUAAGUUGGCGUAGAUGCAAACGUGCAGAAAAAUGGAUCUUGAAUUUUGAUGUAUGUUAAAAGUUGAGACUUUCAAGCCAUGAUUAUUACUUUUUAAAGUGGAUGGAUAGGUCAUGGAAAAUUCAUUAAGCAUUCAGGCACAAACUAAAUUUGUAUUUUUAGGGCAUUCUCAAAUGUGUUCGUUUCUGAUGUAUUAAGAGGUUGGAGUUCUUUAUAUUUUUCCCUCACUUUAUGGGCUGCUGGUCCCCCUACUUUGCCUAAUUUUUGUUGCUGAUAAAUAAAAUUUGUUUUCUUGUUUAACAAUAUAAUUAAGGGUACUCCGUAUAUGAGCUUUGAAUUUGCGAAAACUGGGCUAAAGAUACUUAUACUACAUUACAUUUCUUCUGCUCUUUGCAUGAUUUUUUUAUGAAAUGUCUUAUCUUUUUUCCGGUGUCUUAUUGGAAUUGUUUAACUUCUUGCACUAACAAGAUCCUCUCCAACAGGAAAAGAAAUUGUUGUGGUUGCAUAGGCUUUCAUUUUUCUGUGGCUUUCUUUUGUGAUGGGAUAUUUGUUUCUAGGUUGCCGAUAUAGUAUAUUUUUUCUGAAUGCUGGUUGAGGAAUAGUGCAUCAAGUUUUAUAGUAUUGAGGUGCUUAGGUAUAGUAUAGUGUACUCUGUAUCUAUCCAAAUCUUAUGUUGUAAAUUAUAAUUACUACCUCUACUGUAUGUAUGUAAUCUGUUUUGUACCCUGCUAAAGUGUUACUAGUACAGGAACACACCCUUAUAUUGCUCCGGUAUUUUUCCUUGUGUUAUUAAAGGGCUGUACUGUAGGAUUGUAGAGUGACAUCUAGUUUCUUACAAGAACUAACUUGUGUUUAAGUUUCUUGGUGUUCUAAGUAUGAAAUACCUCAUGUGCAUCACUGGUACAAACUGAACCCCAUAAUUUGGAAGUUGUUAUUAGUAUUAGAGGCUUAAUUUGAUCUGCUGAUCUUUGAGCUAUUCUCCCUUGCCGAGCUCUAGAAAUUGUGUUUAAUGAAUAUGCUUUAACAAACUUUUCCAGGAAUUUCGAUUACAGUUCGAAGUGGUGUGCUGCUGAUGAUGUACAUCAAACUAUAUAAGUUGAAGAAACAUAGGGCAAUUUUAUCAUUUCAGGCGAAACACAAGCAAUAAGUGAAGACUUUUAAGCUAAAAGUUGAGGUACCUAACAAUUUAUUAAGCUACUUAAUCGCGUAUGGAAUGGCAGUGUGCUUUUCUGUGGCCAAGGUUUCCCUGUCCACCUUUAGAACCGUGUUUGUAGCCUGGUCGUUUUAUAUCCUCCAUGGUUCAAAGUAAAGAAACAUCCCUUAGGUUGAAGGUUGAAGGUUGAAGGUUGAAGGUUGAAGGUUGAAGGUUGAAGGUUGAAGGUUGAAGGUUUAAAGGUUGGAAACAAAUAAAGAAGAGUUUGUGUAUACUACAAAUGAGUGAAUAUACUGCAUAUACAUUGAGUGAAUUGCUUUUGCGUAAAGGGGAAAAGCUGCUGGACCAUAAUUUCCCCCCUUUGUCCUCAAAAUGUGUAUUAUCAUAUGAGAGAACUAAUCCCAUUCAAUUCCUCCUUAUCCUAUAUCUAUUUUCCAUGUGUCA